rnacentral:rRNA from 1 species
AGUGAACGCUGGCGGUAGGCCUAACACAUGCAAGUCGAACGGCAGCACAGUAAGAGCUUGCUCUUACGGGUGGCGAGUGGCGGACGGGUGAGGAAUACAUCGGAAUCUACUUUUUCGUGGGGGAUAACGUAGGGAAACUUACGCUAAUACCGCAUACGACCUACGGGUGAAAGCAGGGGAUCUUCGGACCUUGCGCGAUUGAAUGAGCCGAUGUCGGAUUAGCUAGUUGGCGGGGUAAAGGCCCACCAAGGCGACGAUCCGUAGCUGGUCUGAGAGGAUGAUCAGCCACACGGGAACUGAGACACGGUCCAGAGUCCUACGGGAGGCAGCAGUGGGGAAGAGUGGACAAUGGGCGCAAGCCUGAUCCAGCCAUACCGCGUGGGUGAAGAAGGCCUUCGGGUUGUAAAGCCCUUUUGUUGGGAAAGAAAAGCAGCAGGUUAAAACCCCGCUGUGCUGACGGUACCCAAUGAAUAAGCACCGGCUAACUUCGUG